rnacentral:rRNA from 1 species
UAGAACCGGGGUAAGCGUGUAGGAGGAGGACCAGGUAAAUCCGGGCCUCAUAAACUCUGAGACGUGAUACCGAGCCGCUUCAGGCGAAGUCAUUGAUCCUAUGCUGCCUAGAAAAGCCCAGCAGCGAGUUGACAUGGUGCCCGUACCCCAAACCAACACAGGUGGACAGGUAGAGCAUACCAAGGCGAGUGGGAUAACUAUGGUUAAGGAACUCGGCAAAUUGCCUCCGUAACUUCGGGAGAAGGAGGACCCCAGUAGCGUGAUGAGACUUGCUCUCUGAGCGUGAAGGGGUGGCACAAAAUUGAGGGAAGCGACUGUUUACCAAAAACACAGCAGCGUGCUAAGCCGUAAGGCGCUGUAUACGCUGUGACUCCUGCCCGGUGCUGGAAGGUUACGGGGAUGGGUUAGUCCUUCGGGACGAAGCUCUGAACCUAAGCCCCAGUAAACGGCGGCCGUAACUAUAACGGUCCUAAGGUAGCGAAAUUCCUUGUCGGGUAAGUUCCGACCUGCACGAAUGGAGUAACGACUUCCCUACUGUCUCAACCAUAGACCCAGCGAAAUUGAAGUACGAGUAAAGAUGCUCGUUAGCUGCAGAAGGACGGAAAGACCCCGUGGACCUUUACUAUAACUUGAUGUUGUGUUUUGUCAUAUGUUGUGUAGGAUAGGUGGGAGACUUGGAAGCAUGGACGCUAGUCUGUGUGGAGUCAUCGUUGAAAUACCACCCUGCAUAUGGUGAGGCUCUAACCUAGACCCGUUAUCCGGGUUGGGGACAGCGUCAGGCGGGUAGUUUAACUGGGGCGGUUGCCUCCUAAAGAGUAACGGAGGCGCCCAAAGGUUCCCUCAGCCUGGUUGGCAAUCGGGCGUUGAGUGCAAUGGCAAAAGGGAGCUUGACUGCGAGACCUACAAGUCGAGCAGGAGCGAAAGCUGGGCAUAGUGAUCCGGCGGUUGCGUGUGGAAGCGCCGUCGCUCAACGGAUAAAAGGUACCCCGGGGAUAACAGGCUAAUCUUGCCCAAGCGUCCAUAGCGACGGCAAGGUUUGGCACCUCGAUGUCGGCUCAUCGCAUCCUGGGGCUGAAGCAGGUCCCAAGGGUUGGGCUGUUCGCCCAUUAAAGCGGUACGCGAGCUGGGUUCAGAACGUCGUGAGACAGUUCGGUCCCUAUCCUCUGCAGCCGGAGGUGAAUUGAGGAAAGCUGUCCCUAGUACGAGAGGACCGGGACGGACGCAGCUCUCGUGUGCCAGUUGUCCUGCCAAGGGCAUGGCUGGUUAGCGACCUGCGGAAAGGAUAACCGCUGAAAGCAUCUAAGCGGGAAGCCUCUUCCAAGAUGAAUUCACCCACAGGGUUAACCUGGUAAGGCCCGUGGUAGACCACCACGUUGAUAGGCCGGAAGUGUAAGCGUGGCAACACGUUCAGCUGACCGGUACUAAUCGGCCGAGGGCU